rnacentral:tRNA from 10 species
CUUUGUUUGACUUCUUUCGCAGUACACAAAGUCAGUGGUCUCUGGGAUUGCCUUGGUGACUUAUGGUACAGUUAAGGUUGUGGUGACUUUUAGCUGGGGACUUAGAUGCCAACUGAUGUGGUUUUGGUCUGUGUCCCUGCCCAAAUCUCAUGUUGAAUUGCAAUCCCCAGUGUUGGAGGUGGGGCCUGGUGACAGGCGAUUGAAUCACAGGAGCAGAUUUUCCCCUUGGUACUGUGUCACAAUAGUGAGUGAGUUUGUGUGAUAUCUGGUUGUUUAAAAGUGUGGGGCACCCCCCCGCCUCGGUUCUGCUCCUACCAUGUAAGAUGCCUGUUCCCAUGUUGCCUUCUGUCAUGAGGAAAAGCUCCCUGAGGCCUCUGCAGAAGCAUAUGCUGCCAUGCUUCCUGUACAGUCCGUGGAACCACCAGGCAAUUAAACCUAUUUUCUUUUAAAUUACCCAGUCUCAGGUCUUUCCUUUCUUUCUUUCUUUCUCUUUCUUUUUCUUUCUUUCUUUCUUUCUUUCUUUCUUUCUUUCUUUCUUUCUUUCUUUCUUUCUUUCUUUCUUUCUUUCUUUCUUUUUCUUUCCUUCUUUCUUUCUUUCUUUCUUUCUUUCUUUCUUUCUUUCUUUCUUUCUUUCCUUUCUCUUUCUUUCUUUCUUUUUUUCUUUCUCUUCCUUCCUUCCUUCCUUUCUCUCUUUCUCUCUUUCUUUCUCUCUCUCCCUCUCUCUCUUUCUUUCUUCUUUUUUUUUUUUAGACAGGGUCUCACUCUGUCACCCAGGCUGGAGUGCAGUGUUGCGAUCUCAGCUCACUGCAGCCUCCGCCUUCCAGGUUCAAGUGAUUCUCAUGCCUCAGCCUCCCAAGUAGCUGGAAUUACAGGUGUGCACCACCACACCCAUCUAAUUUUUGUAUUUUAGUAGAGACAGGGUUUCACCAUGUUGUCCAGGCUGGUCUCAAACUCCUGGCCUCAAGUGAUCUGUCUGCCUCACCCUCCCAAAUACUGUGCCUGGCCAUCAGGUAUUUCUCUAUAGCAGUGUGAGAACAAACUAAUACACCAACUGAGCCAGUCUUUGGGCCCGAGUAGUGGCAGCAUUGGGGUGAGCGAGCCUGUUUUAAGGCUCCAGAGUGGCUUAUACUGGCCCUUGUGUUAGCGGUCCUAGAGGGCUCAUUCUUGGGCCUCCAAGCUGCUUGCUUAGAAGUGGGCAGUGGGAGCAGUGGGCCUGGUGUGUGGGUGGAGUCUCAGGCCCCUGGGAAGCUGGCGUGGUGUGGCAGUAGCAGUGGUGGAGGAAACCACAGUGACCCAUGCCAUCUGUGUUGGUGUUGCUGGAAGCUGCAAUGGAUUGGGUGGGUUACUCCCUGGUCCCACAGCUGCCUUUAGCAGGGCAGUGGGUAUUGUUCUAAGUGUGCUUUGGAGACCUUGGUCUUCCUUGUCUCUCUCUCAGUUGGGUGGCGACUGCUGUUGUGUCACCUUGACCUUGGCCCAAGGGUGGGGCACAGCUUAGUGUUAAACUCUCAAAAUAGUGCCAGCUGUGGGCUUGUGACCAGAGAGGGUCAGGCCCUUCUCAGGCGAACAGUAUGGGCAAGACUCUGUGAGAAGUGUGGUUCGCUUGAGUGUUGGUCUUGCAGCAGCCUAUGGCAGGGCAUUGAAUAUUGUCCUAGGUAUGCGUCGGAAAGCCUGGCUGCCCUAUCCCUCCUUGACUGGGCAGUAGUUGCAGCCAUGUCAACUUGAAUUUGGCCUGACCGUGGGGCAUAGCCCAGCAUUAAACUCUCAAAAUGGCACCUUAGGCCUGUGGCCAGGGAGGGUGGGGUCCCUCCUAGGCAAGAAGCAUAUGUAAGAAGCUGUGGGGAGUGUCAUCCCCUCACGUCUCAGUCUCACAGCAGCCUGUUGCAGAUCAGUGGGUAUUGUCCUAUAUUUGCAUGAGAUAGCCUGGUUUCCCCGUCACUCCUUGGCUAGGCAGCAGCUGUAAUUGUGUUAGUUUGACCUCAGCCCAAGGGCAGGGCACAGUCCAGCACUCAACUCUUAAGAUGGUGCCUUGGGGUUUAGACCAGAGACGGUGGGGCAUCUCCCAGGCAAGCAGUGUGAGCAAGAAGCUGUGGGGAACGUGGCUCAUUUAUGUCUCAGUCUCAACUGCAGCCCAUAGCAGGGCGGCAGGUACCCUCUCAUUGGUGCAUGGGAGCACCUGUUCUUCCCUCUCCCUCCUUGGAGCUGCUCAGUGGCAGCAGCUGUGUCUGUAGAUACCCGGUAUCCAGGCUCUCAAAAUGGCUCCCAGCUGAGGCUGCUCUGGGUGCUGAAGCUUGUGGGAUUCUGUGUGGGUUCCCUUUCUGGGGCAACAUCUCUGUGCAAUCUUUAGGAAGCUCCAUAUGCCAGGCCUGAUGCUGUCGUGAAUCCACUACAGGGUUUCUCCCAUAGCCAAGAUCAUAAAAGCCCAUUUUGGAGUUCUAGGGGUUUCUCUCUUCCUGUUUCCCUAGGUCCAGGAGCCUCUCUUGGCUCUUGGUCAGUUCCUGGCUGGGCAAGCUUCCUCACACCAUGUCCUUUCUUACUGCUGGUGUUUCUCGUCUGUUCUCUGCUGUAUCCAAGUGUUCUUUCCUAGAUGAUCUGUUCAAAAUGUGAGGAUCUGGGUACUAUUCUCUUUCCUCUCCUUGGAGGAGGCACACCAGCAAUUACAUUUUUGCAGAUCAUCUUGCAUCCUGAUUUUAGGCUUUGUUAGGGUGCGUCUUUUUCUCCCUUUUUCUUAUUCCAAGGUGUAGCCUGUACUCCUAGUUCAUCGUUCUUAAUUAGAAGCUGUAGCAUCUCUGGAGUAUCCUUUGAAUGUCAGGGAUGAUCAAGAAGGUUUCUCUCUUUUGGCUGCGCCUGCACUUCACCACUCACCACACUGUGUAGGAUCAAGAAUCCAUGCUCAGCUCUCAGUCUCCCUGGAAUUUACUUCCUUUUUUUUUUCUUUUUUUUUUUUUUUUUAAGACAGGGUCUUGCUCUGUCACCCAGGCUGGUCUGCAGUGGCAGGAUCUCGGCUCACUGCAACCUCCGUCUCCUGUUUCAAGUGAUUCUUCUGCCUCAGCCACCUGAGUAGCUGGGACUACAGGCGCCCACCACCAUGCCUGAGUAAUUUUUGUGUUUUUAGUAGAGAUGGGGUUUUACUAUGUUGGCCAGGCUGGUCUCAAACCCCUGACCUCAAGUGAUCUGCCCUCUUCGGCCUCCCUUACAAAGUGCUGUGAUUACAGGCGUGAGCCACCACACCCGGCCAGGAAUUUACUUUCUGUUAGGCCUUCUGAAGUUGUAUUAAAGGAUAUGGCCAGGAUUCAGCUAAGGACCUAAGGAAAAUUUCUUUGUAGACUUCUGAGGUAUCUGUUCAGUAGCUUCCCUAUCUCUGUAGGUAUGCCCAUCGAAUUCCAGCUACUUUAGCAGUUUCAAACUUAAUCUCUGCUUCCAUCCAGCAAGACCACUGUAACUAUUUGGGUUCUACGUUCCUACCACAUGGCCUGGAAAAUGUUCCCAAGGGGAAGUCUGGGUGAAUGUGGGGGCUCACCUUGUAUGUUUCCCAUUUCCAAAGAAUGGAAACCUUCUGUUGGUUUUUGUACAGUGCCUAAAAAUUGAUGUUUUAUGCAUUUUCCCCAGUUUUUGUAGCUAGUUUCAGUAUAUCUGAUAUCAGUUAUUUCACAUUGGAUGGAAUUAAAAGUCUGUACUAAGACUUUUAGUCAAAAUCUAGAUGGUUUAAAAAUUUCUCAGUAAAAUAAAUGUAGAGUUAAUAUUUUUCAUAUCCUGAGAUACAAACUACAAAUAAUGAGAUCUACAUAAUUUAAGAGAUCAAUAUAAUGCUUAACUGUAAUAUAAAGGGCAAGUAAAUUUAUUAUAAAAUAUCCAUUUUAUUAUAUAAAAUGUCAGACCUGAAUAUACUGAAAUACAUAAUAAUUAGAUAUGCCUGUACAUUUUUAUAAUAAUACUUUGUAUGUAAGAGAAAAAGAUCAGAAGUCAUAUGUACAAAAAAUAUAUAAAAAAGAAAGAGCAGAGGUAUUAAUGGGAAUUACUAUUAUAAAUAAUAAAGAAUAGAAUGAGAUAAUAAAAGAACAGACUUAUUCAUCUAAUAUAGGAGGAAGGAGGAUAUAAUGUUAAUCUGUGUAGGCAGAACAGGCUGAGGCCAAUUACAGAGUGCUGAAGUAGAAAAAGUGAGAAAUAGUCUCAUAAUUAACCAGGGCAAAUACAGUAUUAAUUUCUUUUGUUAUUACAUGGAAUGGGGAAUUAGAAAACUAUCCCACACAAAGUUUGAACUAUGAGAGAUCCCACUAUCUGUAGAGAUAUAUGUUCAGUCUCUAGUACUUAACAUGAUCUUGGGUGCUGUUAUCUUUAAAAGUGUAUCAAGGAUGGAUUGGAAGAAGAUAGAUGUAACAGAGGCUCUGGAGAAAUUGUAUGGUGGACUCCUGGAGAUAACAUCAGAAUAAGACUGAAAAACAACAGACAACCCAAACAUAUACAUUCAAUAUGUAAUGUUCACAGCAGAGGCUUUAAAAAUUAUGUUACAAAAUAUGCACAUUUAAAAUAUGCAUAUAAAUUAUACAAUUAUGAUAUAAAUUAAAAUAUCCACAUUUAAAAUAUGCCUAUAAAAUGACAAAUUUUAUACAUAUAAAAAAACCUUUAUUUUAAAAAAAUUAAAUGAAAUUAAAUGAGCUCCCAUGUCAGAAUAUAGUUCUCUUUCUGUGGAUUAUAUUCCUAACCUAGGCAGGUAUGUGGAAGCUUCUACUGGCCACAGUUAAGAGCCACUCAAUUCUGAGAAGCUCUCUCCUAGGCAUUAGUGCUUCUUUGGUAAUUUGGCUACACCUUCGUACUGACCCUCCAUUGGCAGCAUUUUGCUGAAGUGCUUUCAUAUGCCUUGCUCCCCAUGCUACAGCAAUUCUCAGGUAACCUGAGGCUUCCAGUCUCAUUUCCCUCUAGUGUUCCAGGGUUGGGGCCUGCAGGCAGUGGUGAUAGGUAUCUUUCUUUUUUACCUCUUGCAAGCUCCGACUUUUAGGAGUGGUCCAUGGUCCCUCUCUGCAGGCUCCUAUACCAUGCCUUCUUUUUAACAUUGCUGGCUUUUGCUCUGGCUUUUCUAGAUCAGGUCAGCAAGUCCCACCUGGGUCCCAAAGACUAUCGUUGGGGAGUGGGAUGCUUCCUGUAAACAGCCACACACUUUACAGCUGCUUCUUCUCUCCCCGAGCUUCAGAGAGUAGAGCCGUUCGAAUGCUGCACUCCUACUGUGGAAUGCUGAGGCUCAGUGGAAGGAAAUUUCCUUGUCUCAGGUUUUUCUUUUGUCCAGCCACCUCUCUAAACUGUUUGACUUCUGCAGUUGUUUUUCAGGUGUGGGACGAAGGACAGAACUCAGUCAUCUCUCUGCUCACCUGAGACAAAUGCAUAUCUGAUUGCUUCCUCUGCCCUAUGUUUAUUUUAUCUUAUGUGAAAAGGCAGAUUUAUUGGACUAGACAAAUGUAUAAGUAACUAUUCCUGUACCCCCCUGUCAUGCGUACAUUGUGUAUUCAGGGAAUGGCUGAUGAAACACUCAAGAGGAUGCAACUGCUUGCCUCUUAUCUAGUCACACCCUUUAAAAAAUUUCUUCCUCUUUCCUCAUACCUGCGCUUUUGCCUUUGAAUACUGAGGUCUCCAGACCCUCUUCAGAAAAAGUAUGGGUCACAAUUUUCCCUGUGGUUCUGGGUUCUUUCUCAGGCAUGUCCUUAACCUUGGCAAACAAACAUCUUAAAAUGAUUUAGACUUGCCUCAGUCGUUUUGAUUUACUCUGUAUCUGUACAUGUACUCUGUAAAUUUUGGCUGGCAAGUCCAAAAUUUAUAGUGUGGGCCAGCAGGCUGGAGAUACGGAAGAGCUGAUGGUGCAGAUGAAGCUUGAAGGCAGUCUUCUGGAAAAUUCCUCUUGCUCCAUGAGGGGAGGGAUGAGGGAAAUGGAGGGGGGAAGGUCAGCCUUUUGUUUCACUCAGACCUUCAACUGAUUGAAUAAAAUCUACCCACAUUAUGA